rnacentral:rRNA from 1 species
GACGAACGCUGGCGGCGUGCCUAAUACAUGCAAGUCGAACGCAGUUGGGACGGGUGAGUAACACGUGGUUAACCUCCCAUCAGAGGGGAUAACACUUGGAAACAGGUGCUAAACCGAUACUGAUGGAUGGACCCGCGGUGCAUUAGCUAGUUGGUGAGGUAACGGAUCACCAAGGCAACGAUGCAUAGCCGACCUGAGAGGAUGAACGGGCACAUUGGGACCAAGAAACGGGCCAUGAGCCAGAGGAAGGCAGCAGUAGGGAAUCAUCGGCAAUGGAAGAAAGUCUGACCGAGCAAAGCCACGAGAGUCAAGAAGGUUUUCAGAUGGUAAAAAUCUGUUGUUAGAGAAGCGGUAGCUAACCAGAAAGCCACGGCUAACUACGUGCCAGCCGACGCGGUAAAAC